UACGUAGGGUGCAAGCGUUGUCCGGAAUUAUUGGGCGUAAAGAGCUCGUAGGCGGUCUGUCGCGUCGGCUGUGAAAACUCGGGGCUCAACUCCGAGCUUGCAGUCGAUACGGGCAGGCUAGAGUUCGGCAGGGGGAGACUGGAAUUCCGUGGUGUAGCGGUGAAAUGCGCAGAUAUCAGGAGGAACACCGGUGGCGAAGGCGGGUCGCUGGGCCGAUACUGACGCUGAGGAGCGAAAGCGUGGGGAGCGAACAGG
rnacentral:rRNA from 1 species